rnacentral:rRNA from 1 species
UACGUAGGGGGCAAGCGUUGUCCGGAAUCAUUGGGCGUAAAGCGCGUGUAGGCGGUUCGGUAAGUCAGCUGUGAAAGUCCAGGGCUCAACCCUGGAAAGCCGGUUGAUACUGCCGGGCUAGAGUGCGGAAGAGGCGAGUGGAAUUCCUGGUGUAGCGGUGAAAUGCGCAGAUAUCAGGAGGAACACCAAUUGCGAAGGCAGCUCGCUGGGACGUUACUGACGCUGAGACGCGAAAGCGUGGGGAGCAAACAGG